rnacentral:rRNA from 1 species
UGCCUACGGGGGCAGCAGUGGGGGAUAUUGCACAAUGGGGGGAACCCUGAUGCAGCAACGCCGCGUGGGUGAAGGAGUACCCCGGUACGUAAAGCCCUAUCGGCAGGGAAGAAGAUGACGGUACCUGACUAAGAAGCCCCGGCUAACUACGUGCCAGCAGCCGCGGUAAUACGUAGGGGGCAAGCGUUAUCCGGAUUUACUGGGUGUAAAGGGAGCGUAGGCGGCCCGGCAAGCCUGAUGUGAAAUACCGGGGCCCACCCCCGGAGCUGCAUUGGGAACUGCCAGGCUGGAGUGUCGGAGAGGCG